GAUGAACGCUGGCGGCGUGCCUAAUACAUGCAAGUCGAGCGAACGGACGAGAAGCUUGCUUCUCUGAUGUUAGCGGCGGACGGGUGAGUAACACGUGGAUAACCUACCUAUAAGACUGGGAUAACUUCGGGAAGCCGGAGCUAAUACCGGAUAAUAUUUUGAACCGCAUGGUUCAAAAGUGAAAGACGGUCUUGCUGUCACUUAUAGAUGGAUCCGCGCUGCAUUAGCUAGUUGGUAAGGUAACGGCUUACCGAGGCAACGAUGCAUAGCCGACCUGAGAGGGUGAUCGGCCACACUGGAACUGAGACACGGUCCAGACUCCUACGGGAGGCAGCAGUAGGGAAUCUUCCGCAAUGGGCGAAAGCCUGACGGAGCAACGCCGCGUGAGUGAUGAAGGUCUUCGGAUCGUAAAACUCUGUUAUUAGGGAAGAACAUAUGUGUAAGUAACUGUGCACAUCUUGACGGUACCUAAUCAGAAAGCCACGGCUAACUACGUG
rnacentral:rRNA from 1 species